rnacentral:rRNA from 1 species
UACAGAGGGGGCAAGCGUUGUUCGGAAUUACUGGGCGUAAAGGGCGCGUAGGCGGCCUGCUAAGUCGGACGUGAAAUCCCCGGGCUCAACCCGGGAACUGCGUUCGAGACUGGCGGGCUUGAAUCCGGGAGAGGGAUGCGGAAUUCCAGGUGUAGCGGUGAAAUGCGUAGAUAUCUGGAGGAACACCGGUGGCGAAGGCGGCAUCCUGGACCGGCAUUGACGCUGAGGCGCGAAAGCCAGGGGAGCAAACGGG